rnacentral:misc_RNA from 1 species
ACAAACUUGGUCAUUUAGAGGAAGUAAAAGUCGUAACAAGGUCUCCGUUGGUGAACCAGCGGAGGGAUCAUUACUGAGUUCUACAAAACUCCAACCCUUUGUGAAUCGUAUUCCUGUUGCCUCGGCGGCGAGCAGUGACUAUGGGAGAGCUACCCUGGAGGACCUACCCGGGAGACACCUACCCUGUAGGUGGCUACCCUGGAAGACCUACCCUGGAGCUACCCUGUAGCUGCACCUAUGCCCCGCCGGUGGACCAUUCAACUCUGUUUAGUAUAGUAUCUCUGAAUUCUUUAACAAAAUUAGUUAAAACUUUCAACAACGGAUCUCUUGGUUCUGGCAUCGAUGAAGAACGCAGC